rnacentral:rRNA from 1 species
UGAACGAGAUAGUUGUAGCAAUAAGACAUGAAAAGUGACGCCACGGGGCGUACCACGUAGCAAUAUACCUCUGAAUGGGGGAUAGGUUCGAGAAAUAGGAAUUAAUACCCCAUAACAUAAUGAAUAGCAUCAUUUGAUUAUCAAACCUCCGGGGAUCAGAGAUGAGCAUGCGCAACAUUAGCUAGUUGGUAAGGUAAUGGCUUACCAAGGCUACAAUGUUUAGGGGGUCUGAGAGGAUGAUCCCCCACACUUGGUAACUGAGACACGGACCAGACUCCUACGGGAGGCAGCAGUAGGGAAUAUUGGUCAAUGGAGGCAACUCUGAACCAGCCAUGCCGCGUGCAGGAUGACGGCCCUCUGGGUUGUAAACUGCUUUUAUACGGGAAGAAAAAAUGCUACGUGUAGCACAUUGACGGUACCGUAAGAAUAAGGAUCGGCUAACUCCGUGCCAGCAGCCGCGGUAAUACGGAGGAUCCAAGCGUUGUCCGGAUUUAUUGGGUUUAAAGGGUGCGUAGGCGGAUCUUUAAGUCAGUGGAGAAAGCCUGCAGCUCAACUGUAGAACAGCCAUUGAAACUGAAGAUCUUGAAUUAGGUUAAAGUAGGCGGAAUGUAUCAUGUAGCGGUGAAACGCUUAGAUAUGAUACAGAACACCGAUAGCGAAGGCAGCUUGCUGAACCUAUAUUGACGCUGAGGCACGAAAGCGUGGGGAGCGAACAGGAUUAGAUACCCUGGUAGUCCACGCCCUAAACGUUGAUUACUCGUUGUUGGCGAUAUACAGUCAGCGACCAAGCUAAAGCGUUAAGUAAUCCACCUGGGAAGUACGAAAAAGCAAGGUUG